rnacentral:rRNA from 1 species
UACGUAGGGUGCGAGCGUUGUCCGGAAUUAUUGGGCGUAAAGGGCUCGUAGGCGGUUUGUCGCGUCGGGAGUGAAAACCCAGGGCUUAACCCUGGGCUUGCAGUGGAUACGGGCAGACUAGAGGCAGGUAGGGGAGAAUGGAAUUCCCGGUGUAGCGGUGAAAUGCGCAGAUAUCGGGAGGAACACCGGUGGCGAAGGCGGUUCUCUGGGCCUGACCUGACGCUGAGGAGCGAAAGCGUGGGGAGCGAACAGG